rnacentral:rRNA from 1 species
GACGAACGCUGGCGGCGUGCUUAACACAUGCAAGUCGAACGAUGAAGAGGAGCUUGCUCUUCGGAUUAGUGGCGAACGGGUGAGUAACACGUGACUAACCUGCCCCUUUCUCUGGGAUAACGCUCCGAAAGGAGCGCUAAUACCGGAUACUCACAUCGAGGCACAUGCCUUGAUGUGGAAAGUUUUUCGGAAAGGGAUGGAGUCGCGGCCUAUCAGCUUGUUGGUGAGGUAACGGCUCACCAAGGCGACGACGGGUAGCCGGCCUGAGAGGGCGAGCGGCCACACUGGGACUGGGACACGGCCCAGACUCCUACGGGAGGCAGCAGUGGGGAAUAUUGCACAAUGGGCGAAAGCCUGAUGCAGCGACGCCGCGUGAGGGAUGAAGGUCUUCGGAUUGUAAACCUCUGUCAGUAGGGACGAAGCGAAAGUGACGGUACCUAAAGAAGAAGCACCGGCUAACUACGUGCCAGCCGCCGCAGUAA